rfam:Bacillus sp. FJAT-27997 Scaffold1, whole genome shotgun sequence.
CUGAAGGGGUAUGUAGAGAAGUCGAAUGAGGAGGUAACGUUCUGAAAGCUCCCCCUGUGUCGAAUAGCACGCUGUUUAGUAAGAAAAAGCGUGUUAUAAGCUCGGCUAAUAGGCGCGAGAAUUUAUCGUAACAGUCCGGCUGACGAAACCCUACUCGAUGGGGUGGUGUAAAUCAUGGUGCUUGGGUUGAACAG